CCGCUCCGAGGGGCCCACCCGCGAGCAGCGGGGAAGGCGGGGACCCGGGCCCCGCGGGCCUGCAGCGCCCCCGCACCCGGUUCCACGCGCCCAGGGCCGCCCCCGCGGAGAGAGGGGGCGCGAGGGGCGCGCCUCUCGCUCGGACACCCUCUCCCAGCUCGCGCCCCAGGUGAGAAAAUGAAGGCACAGAGAGAUUGAGUAACUUGCACAAGGUCACAUGUAGGAGAACUGAGCAUCCACCCUACUCAGCCUGGCCCCAAGGUCCAAGGUAACUUAAACCCAAUUAUAAAUGGCUUUGGCUAUAAAGUGUUCUUGAAUGAAAACGUUUAGGAAGUAGGCCUGGAUUCAGAUGCUUCAGAGGCUCAAAGGAAACAGGAAUCGUGGCUAACCAAAUCCAGCCCAACUGCUUCCUUGUUCACAUGGGGAAAUCGAGGAAGGCCCGGGGAGAGGAAGGCCUGGGGAGAGGAAGUUACUUGCCCAAGUUGCCCAGUUAAUUAGCCACAGAACCCAUGUCCCCCAACUCUGAAACAAGUUCCAGUUAAAGUCUUCACUGAUAACUUUAAAUCCUCCACUAACCAAGGGAGUCAUCUUUGCAUUUGCACAGAGGAGAUGGGAAAAUCACAAAGCCCUUAAGGUCCAGAAGAAAUGAGUGUCACUACGUUGGGCUCCCAGGCUGUGCAACAAGCUGUGGACGGAGAUGUCCGGGCAGGGAGCCCGGUCCAGCUCCCCACCCAUCGCAUCAUGGAGUCAGCCGUCUCCUCUGGGGACUGCACCCUCUGGGUGCUGAGAAAUCCAAAUGGCUCUUUCUCAUGCAGCCGCCCCAAGUGGGCAGGAUGGCCCUUCUCUUGAUUUGUUUCCUGCUUACUUUGUGAGAGUCAAAGUGCAUCCUUCAGGACCAAAGUGGCCAAGGGGCCAGCAUGUUAUUUAGAGUGAUCAAAAUGGACCAUUUUCAACUUGGCCCUAUUUCAGCUCCAGAGCUGUGGUUUCCACUUGCUUUUACUUAUCUGUAUUUUCUAACAUUUCUUUAGCAAAUUUGUAUUACUUUGGCAAUUAGAAAAAAUGACCAGUAAUUUUUAUAAAAGGAUUUGUGUUUGAUUUCCUUUCAGAAAGGCACUUUCAUUUAUUAAAAGAUCACAAUGAGAAGUGAAAUUAAGUUGAUCUUUCUCUCUGGCAAGGAUGUGUGGGGAGGAAUGGGGAGGUGAAUGCUGGGAGCAGAAGCCACAGCUGCAGAGCACUGCAGUGAGUGAAGGCUAGAUCAGGAGACUGGACCAGGAGGCUGGACCAAUUGGCUCUGUGGUCCUAGGCAAGUCACUCAGUGUCUCUGGGUUUCUAUUGCUAGAUGUUUGGUUUCAUUAUUUCUGGAGUUCUUUCCAGGAAUUCUCUGUAUGGAUACAGUCUUUGAGCUUUAGUGAACGUUCAUAUACGCUGUAGGAGAACAUGUAAUGGCUCAGAAAUGUGUUCAGCAUAAAUUCUGUUUGUCUUUGCGGUCCUGUGAGACUGCUGAAAGUUCUGCUCAGCUUCUCUGCUUCUUAGCAUUUGGUUUCUUCUCAGCUUCUCAGUCUCUCCGUUUAGCUCUUUAUGAAUUGGCAAAUUCAUGGAAAAGAGCACAUAGAAUGUCAGGCCCCUGCUCCAUUCAUUUCUCUUCACCCUGAGAUCUUGAUCCCUCAAGUUCUGGCUUCCUGGAUAGCUCUUUCGUGCCUUCUAACAGAUUUUUAUUUUCUUUGAACAAUUCUACCCAGGUUUUCUAAUUGUUUAUGGAGAAGAUUGAUCUUCACAAGCUAGUUUUUUCAUAGGCAAAAGCAAAAGUCUCUUCCUGUGUUAUUAAGUGAAAAUGGCUGAUUAUAAAAAGGGGCUUACAAACAAUAUUUAACAAAUCUUCAUCAAGUCCCUACUCUGUGGCAGGCCCUGGGUCAGGAGGUUGCCGAUUCCAGGAAGAAUCAGACCUUAUCCCUGCCCUUGAGUCUCAAGAAGAGGAAAGGAAAACAAAUAAGCAUAGUACAGUGUGAAAAGUGGGACUGUGGUCAAAUUUCAGUCUGCAAACUCAGAAUGGAUGAAAUAUGAAAGACUGACAACAUCAAGUUGUCAAGUAGGACAGGAUGUGGAACCACUGGAACUCAUACGUGACUGAUGGGAAUGCAAAAUGAUACCGAUCCCUUGGAAAACUCCUUGGCAACUUUAAUAAACAUAAAUCUACCCUAUGAUCCAGAAAUUCCACUCUGAGUCACGUCUCCAAGAGCAAUGAAAAUAUAUACCCACAAAAGACUGCACAUAAAUCAGAACAGCAUUGUUGAUAAUAGCCCAAACUGGAAACAACCUAAAUAUUCACCAAUAGAAGCCUGAAUAAAUUCAUACUGUGGGAUACUCUACAGCAAUGAGAUCAUGAAAGAUAGUGUGGCUUCCACUUUGGUCUCUUAUAUCACCUACUGGGGGAAGCCAGCUGCCAUGUUGUGAGGACACUCAAGAAGCUCUGUGGAGAGGCUCUUUUGAAGGAGAACCAAUGCCUCCCACCAACAGCCAGCAUCAACUUGGGACAUGUGAGUGAACCAAUUGGAAGUGGAUCCUCCAGCCAAGUCAAGCCUUCAGAUGACUGAAGCCCCAGCCUCAUGAGAGAUAGCAGGCUAAAACUGCCCAGCUAAGCUGCUCCUGAAAUCCUGACCCCCCAAAUUAUAAAAGACAAUAAAUUAUUAUUGUUGUUUUAAGCCACUACAUGUUGGGGUGAUUCAUUAUGCAGCAACAGAUAAUAAAUACAUCACCCUUGUAUUCAUUACUGACGUUUAUUGGGAGCAUAGUGUGUGAUUUUUCAUUUAACCCUUCCAGUAAUGCUGUGAGAUAGGUAAGUUUAUUAUCCCCAUUUUACAGACAAAGAAACUGAGGUUCAGAAUGAGUGAAGUCUCUUCCCUGCAGAGUCCCUGACCUUAAGGAUUUUAUGGUCAGAUCUGAGAGACAGAAGCUCAAAAACCUAUGACUCUAGGCAAAAUAUGGCCCUGGGAUCCCAGGAUGGGGAGAGGAAUUUUGGAUUCUGGCUUCUACUUGGGCCUCAUAGCUUGGGAUGACAGAGGGUACACUCCAAAGGCAACAAACACCUUCCCUGCCCUUGAGCACCUGCUUAAUCAAGGGGAGAAAGUUCAGAUGCUUAUGCAUAAUGUGUGGUAUUUCUCUGCACAGAAACACACACGGGCCUGUACAGUAAUAAUGAAAAGCAACAACCCAUCUUAAGGGCUUGGCACUUUGCACUUACAAAGCCUUAUACAUCCCUAAUUCCAUGGAAUCACACCUGGCAGGUAAGCGUGGCCCUGUACACUUUACAGAUGGGGACACUGAGGUCAGGGAAGUUGUGUGAUUCUUGCAGAGCCAAGCAGCCUAGAAGUGGCAGAGUUCAGGUAAAACCCAGUAACUGGGUGUUUUACAAGUGCUAAGGGUAUGACAGGAGGUAGGCAGGGCUCCUCUGAGGGAGGUUUCAGGAAGAGGUCACCCGCGAGCAGGGUUCUGAGAAUGGGGAAGUGGCUUCGGGGAGAGGAUGGUGCCUGGGAGGGUUUGAGAGGAAACAGAGUGAGUCCCUAGGGGCUCCCAGGGUGUACGAGGGCAAAGAGGUGAACAUAGCUGGAGUGGAAAGAAUGAGAAAGCCUGGGUGUGUGGAAGAGCCUUGGUGUGUUAGGUGGAAUUGCAGCUGGAGGGUGUGUGCAGAAUGAGAGGUCUUGGUAUUGGGGCCAAAGUCAACUGCCACGCCUAAGGAGGGAGGAAGGCGCUUAUUUUGCUUCUUGGGUGAAAAUCAUUCCUGUGAUUUAGUUCUCCUUGGGGGAGGGGCGGGGUUUCAUCCAGCCUUAGCAAAUGCAUUCAAUCUUCACUACUUCUCUCUGUCAGAUGGGGUGGAUAGAGGUCCAAAUGUGGGCAGAAGCUUUUAUGUCCCAUCGCAGGGCAGCUAAGAACAGCUGCGCGGGUCGUUCACUGUACAUGGGCACUAGGCCAAAAGGGACUGAAAUCCGGACGGCCCUUUGUUUACUAAGCCAUGUGCCUGCAAGGCUGCACCUGCCCAGAAGGAAUGCUUCCUAUUUCUUUUCUUUAAAAAAAAAUUUUUUUUAUGAGCUAAAAUUCACAUAACAUAGAAUCUACCAUUUAAACCACUUUAAAGUAUAAAGUUCAGUGCUUUUAGUAUAGUCACAAUGUUGUGCAACCAUCACCACUAGCAGUUUUCGGAACAUUUCCAUCAUCCCAAAAAACAACUCCAUAACUCCUAAUUCCCCCCCUUUCCCCAUCUCUUGGCGACCAUGAAUCUGAACUUUCAUAUGAAUGGAGUUCUAUAAUUUGCUGUCUUCUGUGACUGUCUUCUUUCAUUUGGCAUUAAAACUUUUCAAGUUUUACCCAUGUUGUGGUAUGUGUCUGUACUUCAUUCCUUUUUAUGGCUCGAUAAUAUCGCAUUGUGUGAAUAUUCCACAAUUUGUGUAUCCCUUCAUGAGUUGAUGGACAUAUGGGUUAUAUCCACUGGCUGUUAAGAACAGGCGGGUCACGGUGGCUCACGCCUGAAAUCCCAGCACUUUGGGAGGCUGAGGUGGGCGGAUCACCUGAGGUCAGGAGUUCUAGAUCAGCUUUGCCAACACGGUGAAACCUUGUCUCUACCAAAUAUAUAAAAAUU
rnacentral:lncRNA from 1 species